AGUGAACGCUGGCGGUAGGCCUAACACAUGCAAGUCGAACGGCAGCACAGUAAGAUCUUGCUCUUACGGGUGGCGAGUGGCGGACGGGUGAGGAAUACAUCGGAAUCUACUUUUUCGUGGGUGAUAACGUAGGGAAACUUAUGCUAAUACCUCAUAUGACCUACGGGUGAAAGCAGUGGUUCUUGGCACUUUUCGCGAUUGAAUUAGCCGAUGCCGGAUUAGCUAGUUGGCGGGGUAAAGGCCCACCAAGGCGACGAUCCGUAGCUGAUCUGAGAGGAUGAUCAGCCACACUGGAACUGAGACGCGGUCCAGACUCCUACGGGAGGCAGCAGUGGGGAAUAUUCCGCAAUGGGCGAAAGCCUGAUCGAGCAAUACCGCGUGAGUGAAGAAGGCCUUCGGAUUGUAAAGCCCUGUUGUUGGGAAAGAAAAGCAGCGGGUUAAUACACCGAUGUUCUGACGGUACCCAAAGAGUAAGCACCGGCUAACUUCGUG
rnacentral:rRNA from 1 species